GCCAAAUGAUGCGAAGUAGAUGGCAUUAGCACUCUGUGCGAAGAUGACUUACAUCUAUCACCCAGAACUGAUGGCU
ensembl:snoRNA SNORD83 Small nucleolar RNA SNORD83